rnacentral:rRNA from 1 species
UUACUGGGCGUAAAGACGCAUGCAGGUGGUUUGUUUAAGUUACAGAUGUGAAAGACCCGGGGCGUCAACCUCCGGAAUAAGCAUUUGUAAACUAGGCAGACUAGAGUACUGUAGAGGGGGGUAGGAAGUUUCUAGGUGUAGCGGUGAAAUAGCGUAGAGAUCUGAAGGAAUACCGGUGGCGAAGGCGGCCCCCUCGGACAGAUACUGACACUCAGAUGCGAAAGCGUGGGGAGCAAACAGGAUUAGAUACCCUGGUAG